GGGGAAUCUUCCGCAAUGGGGGAAAGCCUGACGGAGCAAUACCGCGUGAGGGAGGAAGGCUCUUGGGUUGUAAACCUCUUUUCUCAAGGAAGAAAAAAAUGACGGUACUUGAGGAAUAAGCAUCGGCUAACUCCGUGCCAGCAGCCGCGGUAAUACGGAGGAUGCAAGCGUUAUCCGGAAUGAUUGGGCGUAAAGCGUCCGCAGGUGGCAAUGUAAGUCUGCUGUUAAAGAGUGAGGCUCAACCUCAUAAGGGCAGUGGAAACUACAUAGCUAGAGUGCGUUCGGGGCAGAGGGAAUUCCCGGUGUAGCGGUGAAAUGCGUAGAGAUCAGGAAGAACACCGGUGGCGAAAGCGCUCUGCUAGGCCGCAACUGACACUGAGG
rnacentral:rRNA from 1 species